AGUGAACGCUGGCGGUAGGCCUAACACAUGCAAGUCGAACGGCAGCACAGUAAGAGCUUGCUCUUACGGGUGGCGAGUGGCGGACGGGUGAGGAAUACAUCGGAAUCUACUUUUUCGUGGGGGAUAACGUAGGGAAACUUACGCUAAUACCGCAUACGACCUACGGGUGAAAGCAGGGGAUCUUCGGACCUUGCGCGAUUGAAUGAGCCGAUGUCGGAUUAGCUAGUUGGCGGGGUAAAGGCCCACCAAGGCGACGAUCCGUAGCUGGUCUGAGAGGAUGAGCAGACACACUGGAACUGAGACGUGGGCCAGACUCCUACGGGAGGCAGCAGUGGGGAAUAUUGGACAAUGGGCGCAAGCCUGAUCCAGGCAUACCGCGUGGGUGAAGAAGGCCUUCGGGUUGUAAAGCCCUUUUGUUGGGAAAGAAAAGCAGCAGGUUAAUACCCCGCUGUUCUGACGGUACCCAAAGAAUAAGCACCGGCUAACUUCGUG
rnacentral:rRNA from 1 species